rnacentral:lncRNA from 1 species
UCAUGGGUGGAAGCAGAACCCCACUAACAUUAUUAUGAGUUUCUCAUGAGGCAGGACUUGUAAUAUCUUCACGGAGGGUGGUAAGUCCCUUGGGUAGGGGCAGGGAGUGCAUAGAAGAGAUACAGACUCAGUCUGUAGAGGUUGAAGUAGACAAGGAAGAGGUGGGGCUGGAGCUGGGUCUCAAAAGCCAAUGAAUUUUCAAAUAUUAACACUCCUUUAGUUUAAUUAGCAUGCUAAGUUUAAAGAGAGCAUAAAUGAGUGAUUGAAAUUGCUUGACUUAAUGAAGCCUUAAUAAUAACCCUAAUUCAGUUUAUUCGGCAUCUAUCACUCAGAGAUGAAUAGCUAAUGCCUUCUCUAAUAAAGCAGUCGUAGUAAAAUAAAGGAAGCCAUAAAAUAUAUUGUUUUUAUUCUUUUAAUCGCAUCCUUCCUAAGUGAAGAUACUGAAUACAUUAGAAUAGCUCUGCAAAAUGCUUUAUUUAUUUAUUUAUUUAAUUUAAAAAUUGAAUUUAUUUGAUAUUACAACAGGAAACUUUAGAUGCUAUUUUCUUAUCCUACUGGUAAUUAAAUGGAAAUGGAUUUCAGUUCCAACUCUGCAUAGUGUGUUCUGGAAAGAGAUUCUCCUUAUAGGUGGAGAAAACUGACCAAGUGAACUGGAUUUCGAUGCCCCCAGACUCCUUUCUUUGGGGAGCACUCAGAUUUUACUGUCUUUACCCAUGCGACCAGCAGAACAGAAACUCGAUAGCCUGUGUUCCGGAAAGGAUACAGAUGACCCUUCUCUCAGUUCUACUCACAGCAGCUAACACCUAUCAACAUCUUCAAAAAGAAAUGUUUAACCAGGCUCCAAACCAAUAACCACAAGGGACAACAGGGUUUAGUCGUGACACAAGAAGAUGGAUAAGGACAGAUUUGUUUCAGGACCCCAAAUGAUGAGACCGCAAAGGGAAAACUAGAGUAAAAAUAUUGAGCCAAAGAAGAAUCCCAGUUGUAGAACUUAUGCGAAGACUAGCGUCUCUGGGCACAUGGGUACAUUGGGCACAGUCUGUACACAGGCAAGUGCUAGCUGUCUCUCAUAGAAAGCGAGAUGAGCUGUGCUAUUUAUCUUGGUCGCAUUGGCCAAUGCCUGGGUUGGAUCAUGGAGUUUAAAUCAGAUCACCUAGGGAAGGUACAAGCUGCAGAUUAACCAUGAGAGGAAGUGCAAAAUUAAGUUUGGGGAGAUGAGCCACUGAAAAAAGUGAAAAAAUCAAAUAAUUGUCACAGAACAGUACAAACAGAAGGAGAAGCAGAUGGUCAAGAGCAUGGCACAUGGGGCUCAUGUUGAGCAUGGACUCUAGGUGAGGGAGUCCAUGCCCAGGACAUGCCCCUUUGUGGAUACUGGCUGCUCAGUACCUGUGCAGUGUGCAAGACAGAUUAAUGCCCCUCCCCCAAAGAUGUCCAUGUCCUAAUCGCUGGAGGCUGUGAACAUGGCAAUAUCUUCAUUAUAAAAGGGACUUUGCAACUGUGAUUAAAUGAAUGAUCUUGACUUGGAGAAGUUAUCCUGGAUUAUCCUGGAUUAGGUCUGAUGUAAUCACAAGAGUCCUUUAAGGGGAGACAGGGGGAUUAGCAUCAGAGAAGGCUAUGUGAUCACGGAAGCAGAGAUUGGAGUGAUGCUAACAGGAGCCAAGGAAUGUAGCAGACCCCUAUAAGCUGGAAAAGUCAAAGAAGAGAUUCGUCCCUAGAACGUUCAGAAGGAAUGAACUCCUGAAAAUACUCUGAUUUUAGCCCUAGAAGAUAUAUUUCAGACUUGUGACACCUAGAGCUGUAAAAUAACAAAUGUGGGUUGUUUUAAGUGGGUUAGUUUGUUGUAAUCUGUUAU